AGAUCAGAGUCCAGGUGGCAGACAGGCUCGUGGUCAAGGCAGGCAGAAUGGUCAGGCAGGCGGGUACAGAGUCCAGAACAGGCAAGGGUGGACUAGAAACCGGGAGGACUAGAAAAAGGAGAAUAGCAAAAGGAGUAUGGGACAAACACGCUGGUUGACUAAACAUACAAGACGAACUGGCACAGGGAGACGGGAAACACAGGGAUAAAUACACUGGUAACCAGGACCUGAGCCCUAGGACCAUGCCUCAGGACUACCUGGCCUGAUGACUCCUUGCUGUCCCCAGUCCACCUGGCCGUGCUGCUGCUCCAGUUUCAACUGUUCUGCCUGUGGUUAUGGAACCCUGACCUGUUCACUGGACGUGCUACCUGUCCCAGACCUGCUGUUUUCAACUCUGUAGAGACAGCAGGAGCGGUAGAGACACUCUGAAUGAUCGGCUAUGAAAAGCCAACUGAUAUUUACUCCUGAGGUACUGACCUGUUGCAACCUCGACAACCACUAAGAUUAUUAUUAUUUGACCCUGCUGGUCAUCUAUGAAGAUUUGAACAUCUUGGCCAUGUUCUGUUAUAAUCUCCACCCGGCACAGCCAGAAGAGGACUGGCCACCCCUCAUAGCCUGGUUCCUCUCUAGGUUUCUUCCUAGGUUCUAGCCUUUAUAGGGAGCUUUUCCUAGCCACCGUGCUUCUACACCUGCAUUGCUUGCUGUUUGGGGUUUUAGGCUGGGUUUCUGUACAGCACUUUAAGAUAUCAGCUGAUGUAAGAAGGGCUAUAUAAAUACAUUUGAUUUGAUUUGAUAUAACAUAUUAUGUGUAAAUAUGCAGUGAGGGAUUGCAGUCUUCUGGAAGAUCUGUUGAAGGAGAAGAUGGUGGAUAAGAAAAAAGGAGAAAAGUGGAAUAUGUUUUGAGUGAAUAUGGAAUGAAGUAUAUCAAAACUUUUGGAAGAGCAGAACGAAAUUGAACCUGACAAGAGUGAGGAUGAGUUAACUGCGGUGGCAGGUACAGUGAUGACAGCCGAGAAGGAGCUGAGUGUAGAGGGAAGCAGUGUGGUGAAGAAGGGGCUGAGUGUAGAGGGAAGCAGUGUAGUGAGGAUGGUUGGCGUCAAGUGCAAAAAGAGGUAUACGUCAAAUGAAAUUUUAUUGGUCACAUACACAUGGUUAGCAGAUGUUAAUGUGAGUGUAGUGAAAUGCUUGUUCUCCAGUAGAUCAGAGAUGGAACCUGACGAGCGUGAGGAUGAAGUACCUGCGGUGAGGACUGCUGAGUUUGGACAUGAUAAAGAAGAAUAUGGUCCAAUAGAAGUGACAUUUUUGGAGAAAGUGGACCCUUGCCUUUUGGCAGAUCCAUUUGUGGUUUCAGGGUGGGUGUGAAAGGAUUUGGGUGCAGUUGAAUCAGUGAAGGUAACAAGUAGUGGACUUGUGCUAUUUGUUUGUGUCUCUUCUGACCAGAGGGAGUAGGCGCCCAGUGUCACGCAACUUUGGUCAAGAUCUGUUUCUUCCUUAGCUCUUAGGAACAGAGCACCAUUGAAAGGAGUGAUUUCUGGGGUAGCCUUAAGUGUGGAGGUGGAGCAAUUGAAGUUGAAGAUUGUUGGUGUUUGUGACGCCCGCCAUUUGGUGCGUCGCAGACCUGGUGGGGUGCGUGGUGAAACAGAGUAGUCAUUGUCAGUCCUUUUUUAGUCAGAGUCUCUACCAGACAAGCUCAUGUUCUGAUAAAUCAGUUAUCCUGUUAGAGCUUUUGUGCCGAAUCCACUGCAGUGUUUCAGGUGCCACGUUUAUGGGACAGAGGAUUGUUUAGUUUUGGUGGAUAAAGUUGUGGUGUUAACUGUAGGGGUGCCCAUGUUGCUGGGGAUCGUAAGUGUCCGGUGCAAGAGAAGCAGGUUGAAGUGGCUAGCGUCAGAGUAGUGCAGAAGGUGCCAUAUGCUGAGACAGUGAAGAAAGUAGAGGAAGAUGGGUCAAGGGUGAGGGAUCCCGAGAGGAUCCCUGUGAGUAGUAGAUCUGUGCCAGCACAGAGGUAUAGGUCAACGAGUGAUUUAUGCUUCAGUAAGGUUGGCUUCUUAGCAUUCAUGGCAAUGGUUAUCAACUGUAUCGCACAAAUGGAAUGUAAAUCACAGAAAAUAGAUGUUAUGGUGGCAGCUGCAAAGAUGUAUUUGGGUAUACAAGAUUUGACUUCAGAAGAGUUACAGGGUGUGUUGAGGGGUGGUGUCCCGUCCUCCCAAGCCGUUGGCAUGGUGCAGGAGCAGAUAGGUUCAAAGUAGUGGAAUGAGGUAGUGGGUUUUGAAUGAGUCUACGUGGUGGUGUCUAGGGCUAUUUUUCCAUUUCUUAGAGGAACCGGACUAAUGGAGAGAAUUUGAUGUACAGUAGGUAGGCUGUGACUAGCCUCACUCUCCAGUACAGUAGGUGGCGGUGUAUGCACCUACAAGCUGGAUGCGAUCCACCAACCAGAUUCCAAAGAUGAAGAAGUUUGGCUGGGGAACAAAAUCAAAACAAGAGCAACAAGGCAGAUAUUAUCAGAUACAUGGGCUACACAUACUGAGACAGAGGAGUGCUGUUUCGCUCGCUCUGAGGAUUUCUCCGGUGACCUUCAGCCACCUGCGAAUUGACGGAAAGUUAUGAAAACACAGAUAGAGAUGAACAACAUUUUAAAUACAUUUUAUUUUAUUAUUGAUGAAAUAUUUGGUGAAUCCUGGCUUCCCUUGGCAUCCAUGAAUACACUUCACUACUCAGAUACAGUGCAUUCGGAAAGAAUUCAGACAGCUUGACUUUUUCCACAUUUUUUACAUUAGUCUUAUUCUAAAAUGCAUAAAAUAUUUUUUCAACUAUGGGACUUUAUAUAAACAGGUGUGUGCCUUUCCAAAUCAUGUCCAAUCAAUUGAAUUUACCACAGGUGUUCUCCAAGUUGUAGAAACAUCUCGAGGAUGAUCAAUGGAAACGGGAUGCACCUGAGCUCAAUUUCAAGACUCAUAGCAAAGGGUCUGAAUAGUUAUGCAAAUGAGUUCUUUCGUGAAUUUGCUAACAUUUCUAGCUUUGUCUUUAUGGAGUAUGUGUGUGUACAUUGAGGGCCAUUUAUUUUUUUUAUCCAUUUUUGAAAAAGGCUGUAACGGAAUGAGGAAAAAGUCAAGGGGUCUGAAUACUUGCAGAAUGCACUGUAUGUAAGGGAUAAUGAACGAGGGGCUAUGUGUUGUUCUAUGGAAAGUAAUGGACGACGGGAAAAGUGUGAACUGACCUUUAAACAGAGAUGCAUUAUUUUCCAGAGAACGCAUAGAGCCUCGAGUUGAUUAUUCCUUUUAUACCACGGCUAUAAUUGAACACAUUUGCCUCCCAGUAGGAUCAGAGUUCUCUUUUCCAGUAGGGGAGUUUUAGUUUUCUGCCUACUUGGCAGGUGUAAAGUGUCCAUGCUUUGAGUAUCCUGCCCCCCGCGGUAGGUUUAGAGUUCCCUACCUUCCUGGUUGGUCCAAUCUAUCCUGCCCCCUUGGUAGGCUCUCAGUUUAUGGCUUUACCCAAUCAAUCAAUCAAAUGUAUUUAUAAAGCCCUUUAACAUCAACCAAUGUAACAAAGUGCUAUAGAGAAACCCAGCCUAAAACCCCAAACAGCAAGCAAUGCAGAUGUUUAAGCACGCUGGCUAAGAAAAACUUCCUAGAAAGACAGGAACCUAGGAAGAAACCAAGAGGAACCAGGCUCUGAGGGAUAGCCAGUCCUCUUCUGGCUGUGCUGGGUUGAGAUUAUAACAGUACAUGGCCAAGAUGUUCAAACUAUCAUGGAUGACCAGCAGGGUCUAAUAAUAAUCACUACCGCAGAAGUUGUAGUGCAACAGGUCAGCAACUCAGGAUUAAAUGUCAGUUGGCCUUACAUAGCCGAGCAUUCAUAGUUAGAGACAUCAGGUGCGCUAGAGAGAGAGAGAGAGUCGAAACAGCAGGUCCGGUAUAAGGUAGCACGUCUGGUGAACAGGUCAGGGUUCCAUAGCCGUGGGCAGAACAGUUGAAACUGGAGCAGCAACACGACCAGAUGGACUGGGGACAGCAAGGAGUCACCGGGCCAGCUAGUCCUGAGGCAUGGUCCCAGGGCUCAGGUCCUCCGGGAGGGGAGGGGGAGAGAGAGAGAGAAUUAGAGGGAGCAUACUUAAAUUCACACAGUUCACCGGAUAAGACAGGAGAAAUACUCCAGACAUAACAGACUGACCCUAGCCCCCCGACACAAACUAUUGCAGCAUAAAUACUGGAGGCUGAGACAGGAGGGGUCGGGAGACACUGUGUCCCCGUCCGACAAUACCCCCGGACAGGGCCAACCAGGCAGGAUAUAACUCCACACACUUUGCUAAAGCACAGCCCCCACACUACUAGAGGGAUAUCUUCAAACCACCAACUUACUACCCUGAGACAAGGCUGAGUAUAACCCACAAAGAUCUCCACCACGGCACGAACCUGAGGGGCCGCCCUCAGUCUCAGGCCCCAGUUGCAGGUUCAAACUUGUCUGACUUAGGUUCCCAGACUCCAGCCAUAGUGCUAGGCCCCCAGUCCUCAACCGUUCUAGGUCUACAGUCUCCUGCACUAGUGGGUCCUAAGUUUGCUGCUCUGCCAGGCCAUAGGCACCCUACCCAGCUUGGCCCCAUGUUUGCUUCGCCGUUAGGCCUGCAGUCUGCUGCCCUGCUCAGAUCGCAGCCCCCUGACUUAGUUGGUAGGCACUUGCCUAGCCUGCUAGGUUUAGGACCUCCUGCCAUUCUAGGCCCAGAGUUUGUUGUACUAGGUUUGCUGUCUCCACGGUUCUUCAGCCUGCCAGGCUUAGAGCUUCCUGUCCUGCUGGGCCAAAAGUUCUGUGCUAGGUUCUCAGUCCUCAGCCCCCCUUGGCCCUCAUUCGCUAGCACUAGGUCCUCAGUCUCCUGCUGUACUAGCUGUGAUCUCCUAUCCCUCAGUCGUUUUUCCCCGUCAGGUCCAGAGUCGUUUUUCCCCGUCAGGUCCAGAGUCGUUUUUCCCCGUCAGGUCCAGAGUCGUUUUUUCCCCGUCAGGUCCAGAGUCGUUUUUCCCCGUCAGGUCCAGAGUCGUUUUUCCCCGUCAGGUCCAGAGUCGUUUUUCCCCGUCAGGUCCAGAGUCGUUUUUCCCCGUCAGGUCCAGAGUCAGUUUCCCCGUCAGGUCCAGAGUCAGUUUCCCCGUCAGGUCCAGAGUCAGUUUCCCCGUCAGGCCCAAUGUUAUCAGCACUUGUCUCCCAGCCUUCAGUCGUUGCGGUUUUGCUGUCUCCAGCUCUAGUUGGCCCUGUCUACUGCUCCGCCAGGCUAUAGGUUCUCUUCCCCACUAGGUCUGCAGCCUCUGCCCUCAGUUGGUCCGCAACCCACAGCCAGCAAGCAGUCAGCUCCCUCAGUGCUUCUCGCCAAAUCUCCUGCCCUAGUUUUAGGCCCUGGUUUUCCCGUCUUACUAAACCCUGAGUUAUCUAUUCCUUUAGGUGUGCAGUCCCUGCUCCUAGCCAGUUCGCAGUACCCAGCCUCAUUCGGCACCCAGUCGCCUAUACUAGCACUAGGCUACAAGUUCCCUGCUUAGAUAGGUUUGCAGCCUCCCACCAUACCUGGCUUGCAAUCCUCAGUUUUAGGGCCUGACAGUUCAGGGGACUUACUGCUGAGUUUCCUGCCCUGCUAGGCCCUCAGCCCCCUGACCUGGGGGACCCACGUUCCCUGACCAUGGUGGCCUGCUCUCUCCAGUUCUGGAGGGCCACUUGCCUCCUGCACUGGAAGACCCUCCGGCCCUUGCACCUGUGGAACCACCUGACCUCGUCUCUGGGGACCAGCCGGCCCCUGCCUCUAGAUCCCCGAGGAGCCUUGCCUAUGGGUCCCCAACUGCUCCACCAUGCAAGCCAUUGCCUUCAGCAGUGGACCUAAGCCCUAGGACCAUGCCUCAGGACUACCUGGCCUGAUGACUCCUUGCUGUCCCCAGUCCACCUGACCGUGCUGCUGCUCCAGUUUCAACUGUUCUGUCUGACCGCUAUGCAACCCUGACCUGUUCACCGGACGUGCUACCUGUUCCAGACCUGCUGUUUUCAACUCUCUAGAGACAGCAGGAGCGGUAGAGAUACUCUUAAUGAUCGGCUAUGAAAAGCCAACUGACAUUUACUCCUGAGGUGCUGACUUGUUGCACCCUCGACAACUACUGUGAUUAUUAUUAUUUGACCAUGCUGGUCAUUUAUGAACAUUUGAACAUCUUGGCCAUGUUCUGUUAUAAUCUCCACCCGGCACAGCCAGAAGAGGACUGGCCACCCCUCAUAGCCUGGUUCCUCUCUAGGUUUCUUCCUAGGUUCUAGCCUUUAUAGGGAGUUUUUCCUAGCCACCUGCAUUGCUUGCUGUUUGGGGUUUUAGGCUGGGUUUCUGAACAGCAAUAUGAGAUAUCAGCUGAUGUAAGAAGGGCUAUAUAAAUACAUUUGAUUUGAUUUAGAUUGAAGACCAUUAACAUUUGGUUGAUUUGUUGAAUCAGUUGUGUUAUAGAUUGUUUACCUAAGCAGUCCAUAUAUUUAUUCCAGACUGUGAAUACAAUAAGACUUCAUGUCAUUCUGGUGUCAGGGAGGUAAACCGGAAAAGACUCCUGUUCUGUUUUGGUAUUUACUGUUCUUCUCCAUGGUGACCACCACAGACAUUUCUGUGACUAGGUUUGGUGGUGUAAUUGAGCUGAUAUGUAAAUUCCCCUGUACCGCUGCUCUAUGCUUGGCUGAGAGACCGCUGUGGGAACAAUAAUGAAACAGAAUACCAGAUUAUACAUUUAAAAACUUUCUAUCAGUUUGUGUCCAGAUGAUGGAUUUUGGUCAAUAGGAGUGGAACUCAACCUGUUCCCUCUCCUGUCCCUUUCCUCUUUGUAGGUCUGAGCAUGAACUCACCAGUUUUAUAAACAGAUUGUACAGAUUGUACUGCUAUUCUUUUGUGUUGUGCUGUGUAAAUAAACACAU